GGAAGUAAAAGUCGUAACAAGGUUUCCGUAGGUGAACCUGCGGAAGGAUCAUUAUUGAAUGAAACUUCUGGCUGGAUGCUGUUGUGCUGGCCCUUUGGGGCAAUGUGCACACCUCUGGCUGUUUGUUUCUUCUGUUCCACCUGUGCACUGUCUGUAGACACACACACACUGUGUCUAUGAUAUAUGGUUACACACACGCAUGAUGUUUUGCAUAUUGGUUGGCAUAUUACAUAUGUAUAUGAUAUAUAUACAACUUUCAACAACGGAUCUCUUGGCUCUCGCAUCGAUGAAGAACACAGCGAAAUGUGAUAAGUAAUGUGAAUUGCAGAAUCCAGUGAAUCAUCGAAUCUUUGAACGCAUCUUGCGCUCCUUGGCAUUCCGAGGAGCAUGCCUGUUUGAGUGUCAUUAAACUAUCAAAUCACCUCUCUUGAGGUGCUUUGGACUUUGGGAGUAUUUUGCUGGUCCGUUUGAGCCAGCUCUCCUCAAAAGCAUUAGCUAUGGAGACCAUCAGUGUGAUAACUUUGUUUACACUGACUGAGAGUGUGUCUCUGCUUCUUAAAAUGCCCCCUUUGACCUCAAAUCAGGUAGGACUACCCGCUGAACUUAAGCAUAUCAAUAAGCGGAGGA
rnacentral:rRNA from 1 species